rnacentral:rRNA from 1 species
GAUGAACGCUGGCGGCGUGCCUAAUACAUGCAAGUCGAGCGAAUGGAUUAAGAGCUUGCUCUUAUGAAGUUAGCGGCGGACGGGUGAGUAACACGUGGGUAACCUGCCCAUAAGACUGGGAUAACUCCGGGAAACCGGGGCUAAUACCGGAUAAUAUUUUGAACUGCAUGGUUCAAAAUUGAAAGGCGGCUUCGGCUGUCACUUAUGGAUGGACCCGCGUCGCAUUAGCUAGUUGGUGAGGUAACGGCUAACCAAGGCAACGAUUGUUAGCCGACCUGGGAGGGUGAUCGGCCACACUGGGACUGAGACACGGCCCAGACUCCUACGGGAGGCAGCAGUAGGGAAUCUUCCGCAAUGGACGAAAGUCUGACGGAGCAACGCCGCGUGAGUGAUGAAGGCUUUCGGGUCGUAAAACUCUGUUGUUAGGGAAGAACAAGUGCUAGUUGAAUAAGCUGGCACCUUGACGGUACCUAACCAGAAAGCCACGGCUAACUACGUGCCAGCCGCCGCCGUAA